rnacentral:tRNA from 1 species
GGUGAGGUUCCUGAGCGGCCAAAAGGAGCAGACUGUAAAUCUGUUGUCAAUAAGACUUCGAAGGUUCAAAUCCUUCCCUCACCA